rnacentral:rRNA from 1 species
AGCCAUGCAUGUCUAAGUAUAAGCAAUUAUACAGCGAAACUGCGAAUGGCUCAUUAUAUAAGUUAUCGUUUAUUUGAUAGUACCUUACUACUUGGAUAACCGUGGUAAUUCUAGAGCUAAUACAUGCUAAAAAUCCCGACUUCGGAAGGGAUGUAUUUAUUAGAUUAAAAACCAAUGCCCUCUGGGCUCCUUGGUGAUUCAUAAUAACUUUUCGAAUCGCAUGGCCUUGCGCCGGCGAUGGUUCAUUCAAAUUUCUUCCCUAUCAACUUUCGAUGUUUGGGUAUUGGCCAAACAUGGUCGCAACGGGUAACGGAGGGUUAGGGCUCGACCCCGGAGAAGGAGCCUGAGAAACGGCUACUACAUCCAAGGAAGGCAGCAGGCGCGCAAAUUACCCAAUCCCGAUUCGGGGAGGUAGUGACAAUAAAUACUGAUACAGGGCUCUUUUGGGUCUUGUAAUUGGAAUGAGUACAAUUUAAAUCCCUUAACGAGGAACAAUUGGAGGGCAAGUCUGGUGCCAGCAGCCGCGGUAAUUCCAGCUCCAAUAGCGUAUAUUAAAGUUGUUGUGGUUAAAAAGCUCGUAGUUGAACCUUGGGCCUGGCUGGCCGGUCCGCCUCACCGCGUGUACUGGUCCGGCCGGGCCUUUCCCUCUGUGGAACCUCAUGCCCUUCACUGGGUGUGGCGGGGAAACAGGACUUUUACUUUGAAAAAAUUAGAGUGCUCCAGGCAGGCCUAUGCUCGAAUACAUUAGCAUGGAAUAAUGAAAUAGGACGUGUGGUUCUAUUUUGUUGGUUUCUAGGACCGCCGUAAUGAUUAAUAGGGACAGUCGGGGGCAUCAGUAUUCAAUUGUCAGAGGUGAAAUUCUUGGAUUUAUUGAAGACUAACUACUGCGAAAGCAUUUGCCAAGGAUGUUUUCAUUAAUCAGGAACGAAAGUUAGGGGAUCGAAGACGAUCAGAUACCGUCGUAGUCUUAACCAUAAACUAUGCCGACUAGGGAUCGGACGAUGU